rnacentral:rRNA from 1 species
GACGAACGCUGGCGGCGUGCUUAACACAUGCAAGUCGAACGGAAAGGCCCCCACCUUGGUGGGGGUGCUCGAGUGGCGAAAGGGUGAGUAACACGUGGGUGAUCUGCCCUGUACUUCGGGAUAAGCUUGGGAAACUGGGUCUAAUACCGGAUAGGACCAUGGUUUAGUGUCUCAUGGUGGAAAAAUUAUUGUUUUGGUGCAGGAUGAGCUCGCGGCCUAUCAGCUUGUUGGUGGGGUAAUGGCCUACCAAGGCGUCGACGGGUAGCCGGCCUGAGAGGGUGGACGGCCACAUUGGGACUGAGAUACGGCCCAGACUCCUACGGGAGGCAGCAGUGGGGAAUAUUGCACAAUGGGCGCAAGCCUGAUGCAGCGACGCCGCGUGGGGGAUGACGGCCUUCGGGUUGUAAACUCCUUUCGUUAGGGACGAAGCCACACCUUUUUUGGGUGUGGUGACGGUACCUUUGUUAAGAAGCACCGGCUAACUACGUG